UUCACAGUGUCACGAACCGGUUCGUAGCCCGUAACAAAGAGGGAGAUAACAUGGAGAUCAAGGAAUAACAAAUAUAUUAAAUAUAUAUACACUGCUCAAAAAAUAAAGGGAACACUUAAACAACACAAUGUAUCUCCAAGUCAAUCACACUUCUGUGAAAUCAAACUGUCCACUUAGGAAGCAACACUGAUUGACAAUAAAUUUCACAUGCUGUUGUGCAAAUGGAAUAGACAACAGGUGGAAAUUAUAGGCAAUUAGCAAGACACCCCCAAUAAAGGAGUCGUUCUGCAGGUGGUGACCACAGACCACUUCUCAGUUCCUAUGCUUCCUGGCUGAUGUUUUGGUCACUUUUGAAUGCUGGCGGUGCUUUCACUCUAGCGGUAGCAUGAGAUGGAGUCUACAACCCACACAAGUGGCUCAGGUAGUGCAGCUCAUCCAGGAUGGCACAUCAAUGCGAGCUGUGGCAAGAAGGUUUGCUGUGUCUGUCAGUGUAGUGUCCAGAGCAUGGAGGCGCUACCAGGAGACAGGCCAGUACAUCAGGAGAUGUGGAGGGCAACAACCCAGCAGCAGGACCGCUACCUCCGCCUUUGUGCAAGGAGGAGCACUGCCAGAGCCCUGCAAAAUGACCUCCAGCAGGCCACAAAUGUGCAUGUGUCUGCUCAAACGGUCAGGAACAGACUCCAUGAGGGUGGUAUGAGGGCCCGAUGUCCACAGGUGGGGGUUGUGCUUACCGUGCAGGAUUUUUGGCAUUUGCCAGAGAACACCAAAAUUGGCAAAUUCGCCACUGGCGCCCUGUGCUCUUCACAGAUGAAAGCAGGUUCACACUGAGCACAUGGGACAGAGUCUCGAGAUGCCGUGGAGAACGUUCUGCUGCCUGCAACAUCCUCCAGCAUGACCAGUUUGGCGGUGGGUCAGUCAUGGUGUGGGGUGGCAUUUCUUUGGGGGGCUGCACAGCCCUCCAUGUGCUCGCCAGAGGUAGCCUGACUGCCAUUAGGUACCGAGAUGAGAUCCUCAGACCCCUUGUGAGACCAUAUGCUGGUGUGGUUGGCCCUGGGUUCCUCCUAAUGCAAGACAAUGCUAGACCUCAUGUGGCUGGAGUGUGUCAGCAGUUCCUGCAAGAGGAAGGCGUUGAUGCUAUGGACUGGCCCGCCCGUUCCCCAGACCUGAAUCCGAUUGAGCACAUCUGGGACAUCAUGUCUCGCUCUAGUCCAGGUCUGGGAGGAGAUCCCUCAGGAGACCAUCCGCCACCUCAUCAGGAGCAUGCCCAGGCGUUGUAGGGAGGUCAUACAGGCAUGUGGAGGCCACACACACUACUGAGCCUCAUUUUGACUUGUUUUAAGGACAUUAUAUCAAAGUUGGAUCAGCCUGUAGUGUGGUUUUUCACUUUAAUUUUGAGUGUGACUCCAAAUCCAGACCUCCAUGGGUUGAUACAUUUGAUUUCCAUUGAUAAUUUGUGUGAUUUUGUUGUCAGCACAUUCAACUAUGUAAAGAAAAAAGUAUUUAAUAAGAAUAUUUCAUUCAUUCAGAUCUAGGAUGUGUUAUUUUAGUGUUCCCUUAAUUUUUUUGAGCAGUGUAUUAUUAGUUAUAUUAAGUUAAUAUAUUAUUAGUAAACUAUGUACAAUUAACAAUGGUGUGUAAUCAGUAGUAUAAGUUAGUGGGUGUGUGCAUAAUGUUGAUAAUGGGGUGUUGAGGUGCCAAAACAAACAAGCCACAACCCCCAAAAAAUAACAGCGUGUUGAUGGUCUCCUCAAUGAAUGGGGGAAAGUUGUAUUUAUCACCCGAGCCACACCCGAGCCCAGGUGUGUCCCAUUUCAGUGACGACCCUCCCGGCUCCGCCCACCGACAUCCUAUUAAGGAAAACGAGAGCAAAGAGAAAGAACGGCAGACAGAGUGGGAGGGUCGUCACACCUGACAUUGGGGCACUGCGUUCUCUCCAAGGCGAUGGCACAAUCGAUCGUUUCAUUUCUCUGCCUUCAUGUCCUAGUAAUGACAACAAAAGCUACCAAUGAGAUGCUCUGUAAAGAGAGACAGACGAAUAAGUCUUGGGUGGUGCAGCGGUCUAAGGCACUGCAUCUCAGUGCUAGAGGUGUCACUACAGACCCUGGUUCAAUUCCAGGCUGUAUCACAACCAGCCGUGAUAGGGAGUCCCAUAGGGUGGUGCUCAAUUGGCCCAGUGUCGUUUGGGUUUGGCUGGGGUAUGAUGUCAUUGUAAAUAAGAAUUUGUUCUUAACUGACUUUCCUAGUUAAAUAAAGGUUAAAAAUAAACUAAAAAUGUACUCCUGUACAUAAAAGGACACACAGGGGCCUCCCGAGUGGCGCAGUGGUCUAAGAGUUGUGCCACUAGAGAUUUGGGGUUUGAGUCCAGGCUCUGCCACAGCCAACCGCGACCGGGAGACCCAUGGGGCGGCGCACAAUUGGCCCCGCGUCGUCCGAGUUAGGGGGGGGUUUGGCCGGCAGGAAUGUCCUGGACACAGGCUAAUAAGAUGUAUGUACUCCUGUCUGUACAUAAAGGGUGGUGAAAUGUGUACACUGCUGGUCAAUUAAACAUUGUAAAUGUCCAGGGUUGAAAUUAGAUUUAAUUUCUUACCGGUAUGGGACACCCAAGUGAGAGCACAGGUUUUUUUGAAUACUACAAACAAUACAGGAUAUCCUACUCUGCGAUCACUGACAAACAGAUCAAUAAAACCAAUGUUGUCUGAUCCAUAUAAUUGGCCUACGAGAAGGGGAGACAAAUAAAAAAUGGCGUCCGUCUAAUUAUUGUCCAAAAACAAAGUGUCACUCUGUCACUGACCCAAUGAUAAAGAUAGUGAAUAUGCACAUUCACUGGGGAUAUGGCCGGUGUUCUCCGCUGGUGCCAGAUAAGAUAAGCUACUGUUCGCUCAACUAAGAUAAGAAUAUUGAAAAGACAGAUUGGAGUGUUUUCAUUGUCAUAGCUUUACAGCAAUAGCCAUUUGCUUUCCAAACAGUUUUUCUGUGAUUUGUAUUUUUAAAUAUUGCGAUAUGCCUGGCUGAGUCUGCUUUUCACUGACAGUCGCAACUCAACAAGCAUCUACACUGAACAAAAAUCUAAGCGCAACAUGUAACAUCCCAUGUUUCAUGAGCUUAAUUAAAAGAUCCCAGAAAAUGUCCAUACGCACAAAGUUUAUUUCUCUCAAAUGUGGGCACAAAUUGGUUUACAUGUUAUCCACAUGUUAUCCGUUGUCAAGAUAAUCCAUCCACCUGACAGGUGUGGCAUAUCAAGAAGCUGAUUAAAUAGCAUGGGCAUUACACAGGUGCACCUUGCGCUGGGGACAAUAAAAGGCCAAUCUAAAAUGUGAAGUUUUGUCACACAACAUAAUGCCACAGAUGUCUGAAGUGUUGAUGGAGUGUGCAAUUAGCAUGUUGACUGCAGGAAUGUCCACCAGAGCUGUUGACAGAGAAUGUAAUGUUCAUUUCUCUACCAUAAGCCGCCUCCAACGUUGUUUUAGAGAAUUUUGCAGGUCGUCCAACCGGGCCUCACAACCGUAGACCACGUGUAACCACGCCAGCCCAGGACCUUCAUCUGGCUUCUUCGCCUGCGGGAUCGUCAGUGAGAAAUACUCCUCAGCUCCCUGUCUGUAAAGCGCUUUUGUGGGGAAAAAUUAAUUCUGAUUGGCUGGGCCUGGCUCCCUAGUUGGUCCAUACUCUCCCAGGCCUGCCCAUGGCUGCACCCCUGUCCAGUCAUAUGAAAUCCAUAGAUUAGGACUUAAUGUAUUUAUUUAAAUGUACUGAUUUCCUUUAUAUGAACUGUAAUUCAGCAAAAUCUUUUAAAUUCUUGAAUGUUGCGUUGAUAUUUUUGUUCAGUAUAUUUCAGUGGUCACCAACUUUUUCUGAGUCUCUCCCUACUCAAGUGCAGUUAGGGUAUAUUAACUACAGAGUCAGAGCAUUUAUCCCAAGAUCAAUGCAGUGUGAUCAUUGUAAAGCUUUUGGUCAUGUAUCAAGUGUUUGCAGAAGGGCGAAGCAGAGAUGUCCAAGUUGUGGAAAAGAUCAUAUGUGUUAUAAAAGUGAUGAAUAUGUGACAUGUUGGAAUUGCGGUGGAAGCCAUGAAGCCAGGGAAGCCAUGAAGCCAGGGAAUCCAGGGAAGCCUGGGAAGCCAGAGUCCAUGGUGCUGGAUAGACCUUCACUGCAGGCUGCAGAUGUUGCCUUUCACCAGCAGGAUCCUGACAUUUUAAAGGUUAAGAUGGACUUUUUGGCCUUUAUAGCUGUGGUGAUUAAUGACACUGCAAAGGUGGAGAGAAGGUCCAGGAAGAUAGAAAUCAUAGUGGAUGCGGCGGAGCGGUUCCUGGAGUUACAUGGAAUAUUGGAACAAGCCGUACCACCCUCUCAGGUCCUAGAGCCGUACCACCCUCUCAGGUCCUAGAGCCGUACCACCCUCUCAGGUCCUAGAGCCGUACCACCCUCUCAGGUCCUAGAGCCGUACCACCCUCUCAGGUCCUAGAGCCGUACCACCCUCUCAGGUCCUAGAGCCGUACCACCCUCUCAGGUCCUAGAGCCGUACCACCCUCUCAGGUCCUAGAGCCGUACCACCCUCUCAGGUCCUAGAGCCGUACCACCCUCUCAGGUCCUAGAGCCGUACCACCCUCUCAGGUCCUAGAGCCGUACCACCCUCUCAGGUCCUAGAGCCGUACCACCCUCUCAGGUCCUAGAGCCGUACCACCCUCUCAGGUCCUAGAGCCGUACCACCCUCUCAGGUCCUAGAGCCGUACCACCCUCUCAGGUCCUAGAGCCGUACCACCCUCUCAGGUCCUAGAGCCGUACCACCCUCUCAGGUCCUACGGCCGUACCACCCUCUCAGGUCCUACAGCCUGAGAAGAGAGAUAUGGAAAAUUAAACAAAGGAAGAAGUGGGAGUUUGUUUUGGCAGUGUACUAUUUUUAUUAUGGUGGAUUAAGUAAGUUUCACAAUUAUGUAUGGAUUUUUUAUGUACAUUUUUUGGGAGGGUUUCAACCCUUACAGUUGGUGGCGACAACACACCUUUUUGGGUUGUAGUCUGCCAUAAAACCCACAGAAGAAGAAUUGCGGGCCCUUCCCGAAUGUGGGCUAUAUGAUUCAGAACAAUCCACUUCUUUUUAAGAAGCUAAUGAUCCUCUGUGGCCAAAUCAUGCUUUAUGCUGUAGUAGACUAUUUUAGGAGUCAGCUAAUUAGGCUAUAUAAUUUGGCCAAUUCAGUUUACUUUAGGGAAAGCUCAGCUUCCCCUAGUCUUAUGGGGACAACGCCUAUGCAUUUUAAUGUGGCAGAAACACAACCAGUCAUGAUGUUUUCAUCUGAUUGUCAAACAAUCACUUAAGAAAGACGCUCCUGUAGGCUACCUGUGCACAUUACUUGACUCAGAAAAUAAUUCCAGCAUCCAAACCCCAACAGUGUGCUGUGCACCAACAAUGUGAUGAAUGGAAACAGACAGCUGCUAUAAAACACCUAGGUGUAUUGUAAUGACAUUCUGGGAUUGUCAUUAGGCCUCCACGGUUGUCCACACGAGCCUCGGCCUCGGCCACUCAUCAAAAUGUAGUGUUUUACUCAGACCAAAAUGCAAUUGGAGUAUUAUACCACCUAGUUUCCAGCCAAUAAACACAUUUUUCAUGCAGGUGACAUGUAGUAAUAUUACAUAAUUGUGUAAUAGACUAUAGUUUUUGGGGCAUGUAGUAUUAUUUGUUUUAUCUGUAAACUGUACCCCCACUAUUUAUUUUUGCGGGGACGCCGUACUGGACUGUACCGCCUUACUUUCACCCCUGAACAUGUCUGAAUGAAUACCCAUUGAGGUGUUUGUUGCAGAAACUUAAUUCGGAUACAAAGUUGUUCACUGAUCUCGGAACAUAAACGAUACAAUGAAUGUGUUUGAUAUUACCUCGCUUUUUUAUUCAUGCAACCAACGCUUUACCACUUAAAAUCCAGGUCAUUUAAUAACCUAAAAUGAUAUCAAUUCAAUAAUAUACAACCCCUUUAAAAAAGAACCUAGAAGAGCCAAACAGGAAGUAAGAAUCCUGCUUCGCCUGCUCAUUGGCCCAGGAAUAUGGAAUCAAAUGAGGUAUUGUUUCCGGGUUCCCUUACUGGCAGAGAUCACAAAAGGUAACUGUCGGUCAAUUUGUUCUGGCAAGAGGGAUCGACUGACCGGGCUUGGCAGCUGAAGAUAAGGAUGUUUUGAACUUGCCAGGUAAACGGUAUUAUUUGCUAGCUGGCUACUGUAAUCUUAAUAAAAGUGUAAUCCGUAUGCAGAUCAUUGACAUUUCAAAUGAGUGGAUUCAGCUAUUUCAGCCACAUCCGUUGCUGACAGUUUUAUCAAAUCAAGCGCACCGCCAUGAAAUCUCCAUAGACAAACAUUGGCAGUAGAAUAGCCUUACUGAAGAGCUCAGUGACUUUCAACGUGGUUCCGUCAGAGGAUGCUGCCUUUCCAACAAGUCAGUUUGUCAAAUUUCUGCCCUGCUAGAGCUGCCCUGUGGAAAUGUCUAGGAAUAACAGUGGCUCAGCCGUGAAGUGGUAGGCCACCCAAGCUCACAGAACGGGACUGUGUAGUGCUGAAGCGUGUAGCGUAUAAAAAUCAUCUGUCCUCGGUUGCAGCCGAGGACAGAUGAUGCCUCUGGAAGCAACAUCAGUACAAGAACGGUUCGUCGGGGGCUUCAAGAAAUGGGUUUUCAUGGCCAAACAGCCACAGACAAGCCUAAGAUCACCAUGCACGAUGCCAAGUGUCUGCUGGAGUGGCGUAAAGCUCGCUGCCUUUGGACUCUGGAGCAGUGGAAACAAAUUCUCUGGAGUGAUGAAUCACGCUUCAGUCCAACGGACAAAUCUGGGUUUGGCGGAUGCCAGGAGAAUGACGGUUUUUGCCGUUCUCACUUGUAAAAAGUAUAUUUUAGGCUUAGAAGUUAGUUUUAGGGUUAGAGUAAGGGGUUAAGUUCAGGGUUGGGUAAGGGUUAGAGUAAGGGGUUAAGUUCAGGGUUGGGUAAGGGUUAGGGAGAAUAGGAUGUUGAUUGGGAGUCCAUUCCCUUUUUAAUGGAACCUCCAGCAUGUGACAUAACAAGCGGUCUAGAACAGGUAGACGAGAGAAUCCUAACCUGACCAUCCCUGAUAUCCAACCUGACCAUCCCUGACAUCCAACCUGACCAUCCCUGACAUCCAACCUAACCAUCCCUAACAUCCAACCUGACCAUCCCUGAUAUCCAACCUAACCAUCCCUGACAUCCAACCUAACCAUCCCUAACAUCCAACCUGACCAUCCCUAACAUCCAACCUGACCAUCCCUGAUAUCCAACCUAACCAUCCCUGACAUCCAACCUAACCAUCCCUGACAUCCAACCUGACCAUCCCUGACAUCCAACCUAACCAUCCCUGACAUCCAACCUAACCAUCCCUGAUAUCCAACCUAACCAUCCCUGAUAUCCAACCUAACCAUCCCUGACAUCCAACCUGACCAUCCCUGACAUCCAACCUGACCAUCCCUGAUAUCCAACCUGACCAUCCCUGAUAUCCAACCUGACCAUCCCUGACAUCCAACCUGACCAUCCCUGAUAUCCAACCUGACCAUCCCUGAUAUCCAACCUGACCAUCCCUGACAUCCAACCUAACCAUCCCUGAUAUCCAACCUGACCAUCCCUGAUAUCCAACCUGACCAUCCCUGACAUCCAACCUGACCAUCCCUGAUAUCCAACCUGACCAUCCCUGAUAUCCAACCUAACCAUCCCUGACAUCCAACCUGACCAUCCCUGACAUCCAACCUGACCAUCUCUGAUAUCCAACCUAACCAUCCCUGACAUCCAACCUGACCAUCCCUGACAUCCAACCUGACCAUCCCUGAUAUCCAACCUAACCAUCCCUGACAUCCAACCUGACCAUCCCUGAUAUCCAACCUGACCAUCCCUGAUAUCCAACCUAACCAUCCCUGACAUCCAACCUGACCAUCCCUGAUAUCCAACCUGACCAUCCCUGAUAUCCAACCUGACCAUCCCUGAUAUCCAACCUAACCAUCCCUGACAUCCAACCUGACCAUCUCUGAUAUCCAACCUGACCAUCCCUGAUAUCCAACCUGACCAUCCCUGACAUCCAACCUGACCAUCCCUGACAUCCAACCUGACCAUCCCUGAUAUCCAACCUAACCAUCCCUGAUAUCCAACCUGACCAUCCCUGAUAUCCAACCUAACCAUCCCUGAUAUCCAACCUGACCAUCCCUAACAUCCAACCUGACCAUCCCUGAUAUCCAACCUAACCAUCCCUGAUAUCCAACCUGACCAUCCCUAACAUCCAACCUGACCAUCCCUGAUAUCCAACCUAACCAUCCCUGAUAUCCAACCUAACCAUCCCUGAUAUCCAACCUGACCAUCCCUGAUAUCCAACCUAACCAUCCCUAACAUCCAACCUGACCAUCCCUGAUAUCCAACCUAACCAUCCCUGACAUCCAACCUGACCAUCCCUGAUAUCCAACCUAACCAUCCCUGACAUCCAACCUAACCAUCCCUGACAUCCAACCUGACCAUCCCUGAUAUCCAUCCUAACCAUCCCUGAUAUCCAACCUAACCAUCCCUGAUAUCCAACCUAACCAUCCCUGAUAUCCAACCUGACCAUCCCUGAUAUCCAACCUAACCAUCCCUAACAUCCAACCUGACCAUCCCUGAUAUCCAACCUAACCAUCCCUGACAUCCAACCUGACCAUCCCUGAUAUCCAACCUAACCAUCCCUGACAUCCAACCUAACCAUCCCUGACAUCCAACCUGACCAUCCCUGACAUCCAACCUGACCAUCCCUGAUAUCCAACCUAACCAUCCCUGAUAUCCAACCUGACCAUCCCUGCUCUUCCUGUUUUCACGAACCCCUUUUCUUCACAUAUUAAUACCUUUUAUUUUCUGUUCCAUUAUUAGGCCUACUCUAUUUGGAUUGAGUGAACUGGAACCAGACGGCAUCAGCCUAAAGUGAGCCCCUACCUGUCUCUGGAUCCUUGGCAUCGAUAAGGCUCCUCUCCUCAUUUCCUCUCAGGUUCUACCUGACACCCUGACCUUUAACCCCUGACCCCCCAUCCUUUCCUUCCUACCCUGGUACUACCUCAUCGGGCUGGGGAGAAGACAACCCAGGCCACACGGGUCAAGGCUCACUCCACCUACUGCCGUUCCGAGGAGCCAUGACACCCUGACCCCUCCGGGCGCUCCGAGGAGCCAUACCGCUGUGUAGACCGCUUCCAGAGCUUGAUAUCAAAUUGAUUGAGAUUAUAGAUUGAAUAAUUCAUAACUGAUAGAUUUAUUUGCAUUAUCAUUCUCAUGAUUAAGAUGAAUAGCUAUGAUCCUAAAUGACUCUAUUCUGCUUCAUAUUGAAUUCCUAUUGGACUGAAUUGCUGAAUUACCUCAUUAGGUUAAUAAUGACAAUGAAUGUUAUGAUUUAGACUUUUGUGAUUAGGAAUUUGAUUGGAUACAUGUUAUUCAGUUUCCUUUGUGAUGCAGCACAGACAAACUACCCAGUAAAUAUGUGGUUAAAGGAA